rnacentral:miRNA from 1 species
ACACGAUAAGAGGACAGUUUACG